AACCAUAGAAACCUGCGGAGUACCUGCGGAAGGAUCAUUACCGAGUUUACAAACUCCCAACCCUAUGUGAACCUUACCAAUCGUUGCUUCGGCGGGCUUAGCCCCCGCGCCCUCGCCGGCGCCGGGAGAAAGGCGCCCGCCGGGGACCCCAAACCCAAUGUUUUUCAUGCAGUAUUUCUGAGUGGCAAACGCAAAAAUAAAUCAAAACUUUUAACAACGGAUCUCAGAUCGGAAGAGCAC
rnacentral:misc_RNA from 1 species